UGACCUGUAGUGCUGCUCAUUAGUUUAUUUGAAAUGUUUCUCUGUAAAUUCCCUACCGGUUACAAAAAAAAAAUUUAAACCUAAAAAUACAUGACGAUAAUUACAGUGGUUUUAGGUUGCUACAACGCAACGAAAUAAAACACGAUUAAUAUUAAUUUUACAAGUUUACUGAGAUCCGUUCAGAUUUCAGUAUACCAACUAAAUUGCCCAAUAUCCCCUGUAAUACCUUUCAAAAUUUCUAUCCUCGUAUAUAAUAGUGGCUUGCCCACGGAGUUUAUCUGGGCAUUUAAGGGAGAAGGGGGUAGUUUAAGUUCAUCAAACACCAAAUUGUUGGUCUUAUUUCAUAGGGCAGUGCCUGCUAAUAUUUUUUGUGAUCAUCGUUUUGGGAA